GAUGAACGCUAGCUACAGGCUUAACACAUGCAAGUCGAGGGGAAACGACAUCGGAAGCUUGCUUUUGAUGGGCGUCGACCGGCGCACGGGUGAGUAACGCGUAUCCAACCUGCCCAUCACUUGGGGAUAACCUUGCGAAAGUAAGACUAAUACCCAAUGACGUCCAUAGAAGACAUCUGAAAUGGAUUAAAGAUUUAUCGGUGAUGGAUGGGGAUGCGUCUGAUUAGCUUGUUGGCGGGGUAACGGCCCACCAAGGCGACGAUCAGUAGGGGUUCUGAGAGGAAGGUCCCCCANAUUGGAACUGAGACACGGUCCAAAACUCCUACGGGAGGCAGCAGUGAGGAAUAUUGGUCAAUGGGCGCAGGCCUGAACCAGCCAAGUUCGCGUGAGGGAAGACGGUCUACGGAUUGUAAACCUCUUUUGUCGGGGA
rnacentral:rRNA from 1 species